CCUACGGGGCGCUGCAGUGGGGAAUAUUGCACAAUGGGGGAAACCCUGAUGCAGCGACGCCGCGUGAGUGAAGAAGUAAUUCGUUACGUAAAGCUCUAUCAGCAGGGAAGAAACACUGACCUUACGGUCAGCAGACGGUACCUGAGUAAGAAGCCCCGGCUAACUACGUGCCAGCAGCCGCGGUAAUACGUAGGGUGCAAGCGUUAUCCGGAUUUACUGGGUGUAAAGGGAGCGUAGACGGUGCGCCAAGUCUGUAGUGAAAUGCCGCAGCUUAACUGCGGAACUGCGUUGGAAACUGGCGAACUAGAGUGCGGGAGGUGUAAGCGGAAUUCCUAGUGUAGCGGUGAAAUGCGUAGAUAUUAGGAGGAACACCGGUGGCGCAGGCGGCUUACUGGACCGUAACUGACGUUGAGGCUCGAAAGCGUGGGGAGCAAACAGGAUUAGAUACCCGAGUAGUC
rnacentral:rRNA from 1 species